rnacentral:rRNA from 1 species
UACGUAGGGGGCAAGCGUUUGUUCGGAUUCAUUGGGCGUAAAGGGUGUGUAGGUGGCGCCGUAAGUCGGGUGUGAAAUUUCGGAGCUUAACUCCGAAACUGCAUUCGAUACUGCGGUGCUUGAGGACUGGAGAGGAGACUGGAAUUCAUGGUGUAGCAGUGAAAUGCGUAGAGAUCAUGAGGAAGACCAGUGGCGAAGGCGGGUCUCUGGACAGUUCCCGACACUGAGACACGAAGGCCAGGGGAGCAAACAGG